rnacentral:rRNA from 1 species
UACAGAGGUCUCAAGCGUUGUUCGGAUUCAUUGGGCGUAAAGGGUGCGUAGGCGGCGCGGUAAGUCGGGUGUGAAAUCUCGGGGCUUAACUCCGAAACUGCAUUCGAUACUGCCGUGCUUGAGGACUGGAGAGGAGACUGGAAUUUACGGUGUAGCGGUGAAAUGCGUAGAUAUCGAGAGGAACACCGGUGGCGAAGGCGGCUAUCUGGACAGAAACUGACGCUGAGACGCGAAAGCGUGGGGAGCAAACAGG